GUGGCCGUCGAUCUGGAGCUACACACUGGUUUGUCGUUUCUCUGUUGGUUUGCUUGAGUUGUGUUUUGGUUUUGCGUGCUGGCGUUUCAUAGGUGUGCAGCCAAAGCUGCAAUCAUGACUGGAAUUAUUUUGCUUGGGAAUUAGCAGAAGGGGACAACACGGGACAAGGGGCCUGGUGUCAGCAUUCGUGUCCUGUUCUACCCCAACCCGGAGCAUGGCGACGACGGUCUCUUCUGUGGCGCUUUCUAUCCCCAUCAGCCUUGCGGCCAGGAGCAGCAGCUUGAGGUAUGCCAGUUUACUCGACUCGUCAGCCGUGGAGAUGACGAGGUCAUGGCAUAU